rnacentral:tRNA from 1 species
UGCUGUGGCUCAGUUGGUAGAGCGUCGCCUUGGUAAGGCGGAGGUCACCAGUUCAAAUCUGGUCAGC